rnacentral:rRNA from 1 species
AUGCUUGGGAAAACACUGCCAUCUAACUUCGGUGAUACCCUCCUGAAUCUUGGAGUCCUCGGAUUGGAGGAUAACAGUUUCGCAGGUCAUCUCCCAGCGUCGCUAGGCAAUAUUUCAGGGCUAGAGUGGUUAUACUUGUCAUUCAACAAUUUCGUUGGUAAAGUUCCAAGUUCCUUUGGUAAUCUUGGACUGUUACAACACCUAAACCUUCAGCAUAACAAUUUAUCGGGCUUCAUCCCAAAAGAGCUGGGUGGCUUAAAAAAUCUUACCCGUGUGGAUCUGUCUGAUAAUAGUCUGCAAGGUGGAGUGCCAUGA